rnacentral:snRNA from 1 species
GUGCUCGCUUAAAUAGCUCAUAUAGUACAAUUGGAAUGCUACAGAGAACAUUAGCAUGACCCCUGCACAAGGAUGGCACACAUAUUCAUGAAGCAUUCCAUAUUUUU